GCCGCGUCGCACGCGUCAUGGGUCUGUUCGUGGACAUGAAGAAGAUGAGCAGUGUGACUGAACCGUCGGAGAACGAAACCGUUGAGCCUGCCGAGUCCGUCGAGCCUGAACCCGGAGUCCAGUUUAUGGUCGAGCCCGAAGUUAACCAAGGCAAGUAGCUAAGCAUAAUCCCUUGCACCUAUUUAAUUUGAUUAGUUUAGUUAUCUCACUUGGGUAUUGUUGGGUUAUAUAUAUACUAUGUACGUAUUACAUUCUUGUACCUAUUUUCAUGCAUUCUCCUUCCUUG